rnacentral:rRNA from 1 species
UACGUAGGGGGCAAGCGUUGUCCGGAUUUAUUGGGCGUAAAGAGCUCGUAGGCGGCUUGUUGCGUCGACCGUGAAAACCCGGGGCUCAACUUCGGGCUUGCGGUCGAUACGGGCGGGCUAGAGUUCGGUAGGGGAGACUGGAAUUCCUGGUGUAGCGGUGAAAUGCGCAGAUAUCAGGAGGAACACCGGUGGCGAAGGCGGGUCUCUGGGUAGUAACUGACGCUGAGGAACGAAAGCGUGGGUAGCGAACAGG